AACAUCGCAGUUGAUCGAAAACACGUUGUAAUGUCAUAACAAAUUCGAGAUCUGUGUAAAUGCAAACUUCGUGAUACCACAUACUUUGAGAAUUACUAUAAGCAUCCUACCAUUUUCGGAGAACAUUCUACAGAUCCUCAAUGAGUUAAUUGAACAGGCGGUUGUGCGGGUUCUAAUGUUACUACCCCUUGCCCAAUACUAGAUUGGUUCAACGAGAUAUUUCCUGUGCUUUGGGUGGAACCAAUAUUUCGGCCGACUAAACAUUUUGCAAAUUACCACAUUUUGCAAUUUACCACAUUUUGGUGGGAACUUGGUUGUUGGUUUUCAUGGACUGCUUUCCAAACAGGCACAUGAUCAUGUGCUCAAUGUAGUCAACGCUUUGUCAUAAACUCCAAGAAAGAUAGCUCCGCCAAUUGAUAUCCAAAGAACUCGCAGGACAAUCCCUGCAAAAUGUCUGCUAACUGGAAAAAGAAUGUCAAUCAGUCAUGUUGAUGGCAAAAUUUUAGUUGCAUUACCCUUGGAUUCCCUGUGCAAAAUAAAUGCUUCUUAAAACUAA